rnacentral:lncRNA from 1 species
GUCGUCCCUGGCAACACUGGCUGCUCUAGCGCCUGGCGGGGUCUCACGGGCGGGCCUGGGCGCACGGCCAAAGCGCCAGGUCUCCACCCCCAGCCCCCGGCGUCCUGCAGCCGGAGCCUGCCUCGCCUGGCUCCUGCGCCCGCCGUCCAGGGCCCCUGUCCAAGCUCGCGGACGCCGGCGGCGUUUUCCAGCUCGAGUGCUCAGCCUAGGGCAGGCUCUGCGUGCGCCCCCUCGAGUGCCGGCCUGGGCCCUGCCAGGCAGAGGCGCUCUUGCGUCAGGACGGCGCCGCCGGGGCCCCGCGAUUCCAACUCGGGGGUCCCGGAGCGGCGCGGGGCGGGGACGGCCUGGCAGCUCCCAGCAGCGAGGGGCGAUCCCCGCCCGCGCAGCAGACCCCGAGCUGCCCAGGCCCUUCCUGCGCCACGUGUACCCAGAGCUCCGCCCGGGGGAGACUUCGCUGCUUGUUGGAGAUGCCCAGCGGUAGGGGGCGAGGACUCGGGAGGAAGAUAAACGGGGGAUCCCGUGUCUGGACUUUCUCCUCCACCCUCUUCCCUUCGCAGCUGUGAAUCCUGGGAGGGGAAGGGUGGCCGCCCCGCCAGCAGAGAGCUGAAGGUGUUCCGUGGUCAGUGAGGGCUGGCACUGGCUCUGCACGAAGAUCUCCUCACCUCCCCAGCGGCUCCUGGCCAGCUCCCCACGGAGAGCCCAGGACACUUGUCCCUGGACACAGUGGUGCAGCCAUGCUUGGGCCAAACCAUGAGGCCACCAGAACCGCGAAAGGCUACUGUACUGAGAGGGAUACUGCGAGAGAGGCCCACAGGUUUCCAAGCAUCCCUCUCACUCCGCACACUCAUCUCCACGACCGGCUUUAAGUGCGGCCUUGAGGCCUGGCUCCCUGUUUGGACUUCUCUGCACCUCCAGGAGCUCACUUCCCGUCACAGCUGGAUGCCUCCUCCCGCAGGCACCUCCCGGGCAUCCUCCCGCCCCAGGCUGCACCUUCUGUGGGACUGGCCCCCGCAGGCACCUCCCGGGCACCCUCCCGCCCCAGGCUGCAGCUUCUGUGGGACUGAGCCCCGCAGGCACCUCCCCGGCAUCCUCCCGCCCCAGGCUGCACCUUCUGUGGGACUGAGCCCCGCAGGCACUUCCCCGGCAUCCUCCCGCCCCAGGCUGCAGCUUCUGUGGGACUGACCUUAAGACCCCAUCGGUUCCUCCUGAGAGCAGCAGAUCUCAGCCAGAUGCUGCCGGGAGGGAGGUGCUAGCGUCCACACCCAGACGGGUCCAGUCCAGCCCUGCUCUCCCUGGUCUCCAGGCAGGGCCCUCCCAGGGUGGACAUUGCCCAUCUCUGCCUGGCCAGGGGCUGCUGACCCACUGGUUCCAGAGUCUGAGCCUGUCCUGCACAAGUACCAUGGACAGGGGUCAGCCGGGCACUGAAGAGGCGUGGCAGAAUUGGGCAGGGCAAGGGCCCCAGCUGGCAAGCUGGAGUCAGGGCAAUUCCAACCAAGAAACUGCGGCAGGCCGGGUGCAGUGUCUCAAGCCUAUAAUCCCAGCACUUUGGGAGGCAGUGGGAGAAUCGCUUGAGCCCGGGAGUUUGAGACCAGCAUUGGUAACAUAGAGACCCUAUCGCUACAAGAAAAAAAAAAAAAAAAAGCUGGGCAUGGUGGUGCACACCUGUUGUCCCAGCUAUUCAGGAGGCUGACGUGGGAGGAUUGCUUGUGCCCAGGGGUUGCAGGCUGCAGUGAGCUGUGAUCAUACCACUGCACUCCAGCCUGGGCGACAGAGAACCUCUCUAAAAAAAAAGGAAAAUGAAAAAUAAAUGGGGGCAGAAGCUGAGCCAAGCAGAGGCGGGCAGCUCCUCCUCCAGGGCCCACCUGGCCUGCUGGGGA